CAUGGCAUUGAUAGACAACUUGCCCUCACUGAGAAGAAGGUUCUGUGAUGAGAAGCUUUGUUAUUCGAAAUCAAGAGUCAUG
ensembl:snoRNA